GUCAAAAUGUCCAAGUGCUUAAGGACACGGAUUUGAAAUUUGUUGGGCUUCGCCCGCGCAGGUUUGAACCCUGCUUUGAUG
rfam:Brassica rapa chromosome A2, whole genome shotgun sequence.